GAACCAGGUUAGUUUCUAGUCCGCGGAGCAAGCGGCGUCUAGCUCCAGGUUGAUCCGAUUUAUGAACGCUAAUUUCGGCCAGCCGUUCUCUCCCGCUCCCUGCCUGGCGCUCGGAGGUUCAGUUAGGGACCAUCUACAAAUUUCCGAACCAAACAUGAGCAUCUACUGUAUGUACAUAGAUUUCUUGCCUUGUGACUAUUUUUAUUCUAUUUCACCCUUUUUAUUUCUUGUCAGUGGGUCAUAUGUGAUGUAAACUAUUAAAAACCAAGUGUAUUUUUAAAUAUAAAGUUAUGUAAAAAUGUAAAGUAAAAUGCAGAGCAUCGUCUCUCCAGUCUAGUAGAAUAAUUUCACACUGAUUUUAUGUUACUGGGUCACAUGACUUGGAAGCUAUUGAAGAAAAAAUAUUAAAAUUAUUUUAAAGAUUGAGUAUGACUUAAAAAUUCGAUGGAGAGCAGAGUGUCUCCUGUGACAGCAUGAAUGACCACUUUCUGUGUCAGUUGGUCACAAGGCCAGAAAUCCACAGUGAUGGUCAAACAACUAGAAUAUCAUCAAGUUAAAUCAGUUAUUCCAAUCACAAAGAGAAACUUACAUAUUAUUUUCAUUUAUUACUCAUAGACUGAUAUAUUUAAAAUGUUUUUUCUUUUAAUGUUGAUAAUUAGAACUGACAACUAAUGAAAACCCCAAAUUCAGUAUCUCAGAAAGUUAGAGUACUGAAGACCAAAACAAAAAAAGAUUUUUAGAAAUCUUGGCCAAUAGGAAGGAGUGAUGAUGUUCAGCUCUCAGUGCUGAGUUCUUCCUUCUGCCUGGUUUACUGCAGCCGCGCGGCGCGGCGUCCGUCGGCCAUGCGGCAUCUGUCAGUCUGCGGCCAGGCGUCCGUCGGCCAGGCAGCGAGGCGUCCGUCGGCCAUGCGGCGUCCGUCUGUCUGUGGCGAGGCGUUCCUCUGCUUGUGGCCUUCAGCUCUAAUGAAACGUCGGUCUGGUGCAUCACCAGUUUCCACCACGGACCUUAAACCGGGUUCUGGACUCUGUGUUCUGGAGCCAAGUCCUGCUGAAAAAUUUAAUCUGCAUCUCUAUAAAGUUGGUCAGCAGCAGGAAGUGCUGGUAGGUGCAUUGACCUUUGACCUCACAAAUCACAGUGGACCAACAUCAGCAGAUGACAUGGCACCAAACUAUGGUUGACUGUGGAAACUUUGACUAGACCUCAAGCAACAUGGAUUCUGCUGCUCUGCUCUUCCUCCAGACUCUGAGAGGAAAUAAAAAUUCACUUCAACCAGAGAACAGAGCAGUUUGUGUUCAGUCCAGGGUUUCCUUCCCUUCACCUCAGUGUCUGAACUCUGAACUCUGAACGGCUUCUUAAGCAAAGGUCGUCUUCUGGACGGCCGUCAGGUCAACGGUCAUGUGACCUGCAGAUCUGAACUGAGAGACAAUUUAAAGCAUCUGCAGGUUUUAAUAGAAACAUCCACACUAAUCAGGUAAUUAUCUGAUUAGUGUGGAGCACCAGAGGUUUUCAGUAUUGAAUCUUUCCACAAUAUUCUAAUUUUGUGAGACACUGAAUUUGUAGUUUUCAUUAGUUAUGAGUUAUAAUCAUCAACACUAAAAGAAAAAAA